AUUUUAAGUGUAUCAAAACCAUCAAGUUUACGGCCUACGAAGAAAGUACAGCAUGGGUGCACAAGGAUCCACGGAGCAGGUGGUUAGCAGAGGUGAAAUAGAAACAACGCCACAAGAAAGACGAGUAAUAGAGUCCAUUGAUAUACUUAAUAAAG